GACGGGGGGGGCAAGCGUUGUUCGGAAUUACUGGGCGUAAAGGGCGCGCAGGCGGGCGAGAAAGUCUCUCGUGAAAGCCCACGGCUCAACCGUGGAAUUGCGGUGGAAACUACUCGUCUUGAGUCCGGGAGAGGAGGGGGGAAUUCCCAGUGUAGCGGUGAAAUGCGUAGAUAUUGGGAGGAACACCGGUGGCGAAGGCGGCCCUCUGGACCGGUACUGACGCUGAGGAGCGAAAGCUAGGGGAGCAAACGGG
rnacentral:rRNA from 1 species